GGAUACAGAAAUGCUCUCUGCACUGCGCUGCCACUGCUGGGGGAUGGAGGGAUUUUGUGUCAGCAACUCAAGACUGUUUUUUCUACCUCUUCGGUGCCUCUUUCAGUGAUAUGAAGUUAAAACCAGGUCUCUUCUUCAGCCCUUGGACACAGUGUCAUCCCUAUUGGAGUCAAUAAAGGAGAACGGAAAGAGAGAUUCAAGACACACCAAGAGGAUAAACAUGGAGUUGAAGGCCAUGUGAAGAUGGAAGCAGAGACUGGAAUGAUGCAUCACCAUCAAGAAUUGCUGGCACCCACAAGCAGCUAGGAGAGAGGCAUGGGACAGAUUCUCCCUCUAAACCUCCAGAAGAAACCAACUCUGCUGACACUGUGAUUUCAGACUUCUGGUCCUCACAACUGUGAGAGAAUUCACUUCUGUUGCUAUAAGCCACCAAAUUUGUGGUAACUUGUUCUGCAGCCUUAGGAAAUUAACAUACUUGGUGUGUUAAUUAGGUUGAUAAUUAGGUCAACUUCCCAUAAGUGAAAGCCUGUGGGAAUGUUGGGCUAAGAGACCUAUUUCUGAUUUCUGGCUCCACAACUUAUUAGUUUGUGGUCAUAAACAUUUAACCUCUGUGAACCUCAGUUUUCUUAUCUGUAAAAUGGGCUUCCUUGAAGGAGCCUUCUCCUGAAUCCAGUCUGUAAAAAACUUUUGUUCUCUAGGCAAACUUUCCCUUUAUCUCUGCACUUAGGCCCUGUGUUAAUUAUUUUUGCUUAUCUUUGAUUCUAUCAGACUGAACAAAUUCUCUGAGGGCUGAGAUUAUAUGAUGUUUACCUUAAUGGUAAUGAUACCUAUAACACAGCAGGUAUCCUCAAUCCAUGCUUAUAUGGUUGUUUGGAGGAGUAAGUCUGGUACUUGGUAGCAACGGUUAUCUACGUUAAUUAUUUAUGACUGUUUUUAAGAUUUGUAGUCUUCUUUUUCAUUUUUAGUCACACAUCUGUACAUCCCUCAGGGAAAAGGCAGAAUUUAGACUGUUUUUUUGGGAAACAUGUAUACUUAAGCUUGUGGAGAGGUUCAAGGAAAAUGCUGUAGGUGAAGGAUACAACAGGAAAUGAGCGUGGUCUGCUCACAGGAUGCUAGGAGCCUAUCUGCAUAGAGGGGAAGCUUCAUUCCUGCAUAAAAAGAUGUAUUCUUAGGUAUUCUUAGCUGUAUUGUAAGUUCCCUUUCCCUUAAAGCAUGGUAAGCAAACUCUAUAGUAUAGGAUCCACAUUUUUGCACGUGUUUCCUUUUUGUUAAACUUAUUUGUUUAUAUACAUGACCUCAACAUGUUUGUGGCCUAGGGUCACGUGUGGUGAAACUAAAUGGGAUCACAGAUCUCAGAACUAUGGCCAGACCAGCUGUCCGAAUCUGGGAUUAUCUCCAUCUAUAAAUAGUGACUGGGCACAAAAUCAACUAGCAAAAUUAAGGGUUAUAGGGCUUGGGUAUUUGGGGAAAAAAAGAAAGGAAAGCAUGCCAAGAAAUCCAAGUGUUAGAAAUUAACCCUCCAGGAACAAAAGCAGUGGAAAGCUAUAGGCAACCACAAUUGACAGCAAUAAAGCUCGUCAGGAAUGGAAAUGUAUGAAUUGGUAAAAAGGAAAAUAUAAGGUGUUUUGAGAUGCUAAACUCCCUCUGUAUCAGAACUGUGCUGCCUGUUUUUGAAAAAAUAAUUCAAAGGAUUUCACUCUUUAAGGGUAUUGCAUAUGAAAAAUUGAAAUCUUUAUAUUCAUAAAACAACUGCAUGAAUAAAAUCAGCAUUUAAGAGGGAGUUCUUCACAUCCCAUGCUCAUGGAUGGGUAGAAUCAAUAUUGUGAAAAUGACCAUACUGCCAAAAGCAAUGUGCAAAUUCAAUGCAACCCCCAUCAGAAUACCAUCAUCAUUCUUCACAGAAUUAGAAAAAAAAUUCUAAAAUUUGUAUGGAAAGAAAAAAGAGCCUGCAUAGUCAAAGCAAGACUAAACAAAAAGAACAAAUCUGGAGGCAUCACACUACCUGAUUUCAACCUAUACUAUAAGGCCAUAGUCACCAAAACAGCAUGGCACUGGUAUAAAAAUAGGCACAUAGACCAAUGGAACAGAGUAGAGAACCCAGAAAUACACCCAAAUACUUACAGCCAACUAAUCUUCAACAAAGCAAACAAAAA